rfam:Nelumbo nucifera unplaced genomic scaffold scaffold00017, whole genome shotgun sequence
ACUAGGGUUCUUUUGAGAACCAUACAUCAUUGCAAAAAAAAAAAAA